CCCGGGUCUUGUACACACCGCCCGUCACACCUUGGGAGCGGGUUCUGCCAGAAGUAGUUAGCCUAACCGCAAGGAGGGCGAUUACCACGGCAGGGUUCGUGACUGGGGUG
rnacentral:rRNA from 1 species